rnacentral:rRNA from 1 species
UGUAGAGUUUGAUCCUGGCUCAGAUUGAACGCUGGCGGCAGGCCUAACACAUGCAAGUCGAGCGGUUGAAGAUAGCUUGCUAUCUGAUGCAGCGGCGGACGGGUGAGUAACGCGUGGGAAUCUACCUAGUAGUGGGGGACAACUUCCGGAAACGGGAGCUAAUACCGCAUACGCCCUACGGGGGAAAGGAGGGGAUCUUCGGACCUUUCGCUAUUAGAUGAGCCCGCGUUAGAUUAGCUUGUUGGUGAGGUAAAGGCUCACCAAGGCGACGAUCUAUAGCUGGUCUGAGAGGAUGAUCAGCCACACUGGGAC